AGAGUUUGAUCCUGGCUCAGGAUAAACGCUGGCGGCGUGCCUAAUACAUGCAAGUCGAACGGAGGUAUGUAGCAAUACGUGCCUUAGUGGCGAAUGGGUGAGUAACGCGUUGGUGACCUGCCCCGAAGAGGGGGAUAACGGUUCGAAAGGACUGCUAAUACCCCAUGUGGUUAUGAGAGCUAGAUGUCUCAUAUCUAAAGGAGAAAUCCACUUCGGGAGGGGCCUGCGUCCCAUCAGCUAGUUGGUAGGGUAACGGCCUACCAAGGCGACGACGGGUAGGGGGCCUGAGAGGGUGGCCCCCCACACUGGCACUGAAACACGGGCCAGACACCUACGGGUGGCAGCAGUAGGGAAUAUUGCACAAUGGGCGAAAGCCUGAUGCAGCAACGCCGCGUGAGCGAUGAAGGCCUUCGGGUCGUAAAGCUCUUUUUGAGGAGAUGAGGAAGGACAGUAUCCUCAGAAUAAGGAUCGGCUAACUACGUGCCAGCAGCCGCGGUAACACGUAGGAUCCGAGCGUUAUCCGAAUUUACUGGGCGUAAAGCGCGUGUAGGCGGUUUGGUAAGUUGGAUGUGAAAGCUCCCGGCUCAACUGGGAGAGGCCGUUCAAAACUACCAGACUUGAGGACGGUAGAGGGAGGUGGAAUUCCCGGUGUAGUAGUGAAAUGCGUAGAUAUCGGGAGGAACACCAGUGGCGAAAGCGGCCUCCUGGACCGUUUCUGACGCUCAGACGCGAAAGCUAGGGGAGCGAACGGGAUUAGAAACCCCGGUAGUCCUAGCUGUAAACGAUGUAGACUUGGUGUCGGUGGGGUAAAAGCCAUCGGUGCCGAAGCUAACGCGAUAAGUCUACCGCCUGGGGACUACGGCCGCAAGGUUAAAAGCUUAAAUGAAUUGACGG
rnacentral:rRNA from 1 species